AUGAAAGAAUUUGAGUUUGAUAAGGUUUUUCAUCAAGAAACAACUCAAGAAAAUGUUUUUGUUGAGGUGGAAUCAAUUCUAAGGUCCGCAAUGGAAAGGCAGAAUGUGUGCGAUUUCACUUAUGGUCAAACCGACAUAAGCAAAACAUUUACCAUGAAUCCUAAAAACAAGGGGGGGAUUUUUUGGAAUGAAAAGCGAAAGACCAUUUUCGAUGAGAAAGAUAAAAUGGAUCAAUUCAAAGGAAAAAGCUCGUGUUCCCAAAUUCGCUGUCCCAACACGUUAUGA